rnacentral:rRNA from 1 species
AAGGCUUGACAUAUGCGAGAACGCGGCAGAGAUGUCGUUCUCUUUGGACACUCGCAUACAGGUGGUGCAUGGUUGUCGUCAGCUCGUGUCGUGAGAUGUUGGGUUAAGUCCCGCAACGAGCGCAACCCUCGUUCUAUGUUGCCAGCACGUGAUGGUGGGGACUCAUAGGAGACUGCCGGGGUCAACUCGGAGGAAGGUGGGGAUGACGUCAAAUCAUCAUGCCCCUUA